rnacentral:misc_RNA from 1 species
UUGAUUUUGAUUUGUUACCUUCUGUGCUGGCUCCGGCAUGUGCACGUUGGUGACUUUCAUCCAAUACCCAUUUGUGAACCUUUGGCCUCACGCUGGCUUUGGCUGGCAGAGGAUUUUACACAAACUUGAAUGUAACAGAAAGAUCUUGUUGUGCGCAAGCACUAAUGUA